UAUACUGAUGAAAUUUGAAGUGGGGUUCACGAACAAACGACUAAGAAAGAAUUUUUGAGAUGUCUUCAGUGCGAACAGGUGACAGAAAGAGGAUGAUGAUUGAGUUUAUGAGCCCUCUGAAGAUCUGGAAACAAUGAAUUAUGAAGUCAACUUGAAGAAGCUAGGGACAAUUCAUGUAGAAGAGGGAAGGCUCAGGUAGGGGUGAAUAAGGUGGUGUGGGGACAUGAGAACCAUCUUCAUCUGAUGAACAAGAGGAACUAGAUUUACGGGCUGCUGUGGAGGUGGAAUUAAUAGCAAUGCAGGGGCAAGGGAAGGAGUAUCACAUAGUGGAAAGUUCAUUGGUCUCAGAAUCAGGAGACCUAGACUCUGGUACUGGUUUUGUCUCUAUCUGAAUCUCCUCCUCGUUAGGGGUGGUGAAGCCAUGGUUUGGAUUGGCUGGGCAAUGACUCAGAUAAGAUUACUGGGAUUGUGGGUUGGAGACAGUGGAUCCAAAGGUAUGGGCCAGGGUGAGGAGGCAAGUCUAAGUUCUUUACAGAGAGCUAGUGAUGAAAUCCAAGCCUCAGUUUGAAGGUCCAGAGGUAGGCAAGAGUCACGAGGAUAUUAGAGCAGGAGCAGGUCAGGAAUAAGCUGGGGCAGGUGGGUUUUGGAGAAUGGUAAAAACAUGAGUAGGUGCUUUCUGCUUGCCUCUAGGUAUGUGAGGAGCCUGGUGGGGUGCACCAGUUUAGAGGGCUAGUGCAAGUCAUUAUCUAGCCAUGAGACUUGGGCUGACUGUCCUCCCAUAUCUGGGCCUCAGGUAUCUCUGGUGUGAAGUAAGGGGGCUGCAGUCAUGUCCCCCUCUGGUUUUAUGAGUUACAGGAAAGAAAUCUUGGGUGUUCUAUUAGAACAAGGUUUUCUGCCAAUUAGAGCAGUCCGCUUAUGGAUCUGGCAACCUUGGCAAGUAGAGGGAAUUCCAGAUCUAUUAGCAAGAUGAGGAGGCCCAAAUUCUGUUCUUCCACCUCUUUAAGGUAAUAGCUCUUCUAGAACAGGUGAGAACACGCCCUGCAGGUACUGUCUUUCAGUAGCAUCUGCCCCUUCAUGUUUGGCUGGCUUCUCCCAGUCAGUAGAGCUCUCACAGGAAUCGGAUGUUCUCUAUUUUGCCACAGUAGAAAGCAAUAUAAACACUCUUCAGCUA